rnacentral:rRNA from 1 species
UACGGAGGGUGCAAGCGUUGUUCGGAAUCACUGGGCGUAAAGCGCGUGUAGGCGGCCUUCUCAGUCUGGUGUGAAAGCCCGGGGCUCAACCCCGGAAGUGCAUUGGAUACUGGAAGGCUGGAGUACCGGAGAGGAGGGUGGAAUUCCUGGUGUAGCGGUGAAAUGCGUAGAUAUCAGGAGGAACACCAAUUGCGAAGGCAGCUCGCUGGGACGUUACUGACGCUGAGACGCGAAAGCGUGGGGAGCAAACAGG